UGGGUAGUCCGCACGAGCGCACCCUAUUUUUAGUUGCUACCAUUUAGUUGGGCACUCUAAAAAAACUGCCAGUGAUAAGCUGGAGGAAGGCGGGGAUGACGUCAAGUCCUCAUGGCCCUUACGUGUUGGGCUACACACGUGCUACAAUGGUGCUUACAGUGAGAAGCGAAGAGGCGACUCCAAGCCAAUCCCAAAAAAGCACCUCAGUUCGGAUUGUACUCUGCAACUCGAGUACAUGAAGCUGGAAUUACUAGUAAUCGCGGAUCAGCGCGCCGCGGUGAAUACGUUCCCGGGUCUUGUACACACCGCCCGUCACACCAUGGAAGUUGGUUACACCUUAAGGCAAAGCCUAAAAACUUUGACUACGGUACGAUCAGCGACUGGGGUGAAGUCGUAACAAGGUAGCCGUAGGGGAACCUGCGGCUGGAUCACCUCCUUUCU
rnacentral:rRNA from 1 species